rnacentral:rRNA from 1 species
AUUGAACGCUGGCGGCAUGCUUUACACAUGCAAGUCGAACGGUAACAGGUUAAGCUGACGAGUGGCGAACGGGUGAGUAAUGCAUCGGAACGUGCCCGGUCGUGGGGGAUAACGCAGCGAAAGUUGCGCUAAUACCGCAUACGAUCUGAGGAUGAAAGCGGGGGACCGUAAGGCCUCGCGCGAUCGGAGCGGCCGAUGUCAGAUUAGGUAGUUGGUGGGGUAAAGGCUCACCAAGCCAACGAUCUGUAGCGGGUCUGAGAGGACGACCAGCCAAACUGGGACUGAGACACGGCCCAGACUCCUACGGGAGGCAGCAGUGGGGAAUUUUGGACAAUGGGCGAAAGCCUGAUCCAGCAAUGCCGCGUGCAGGAAGAAGGCCUUCGGGUUGUAAACUGCUUUUGUACGGAGCGAAAAGGUCUCCUCUAAUACAGGGGGCUCAUGACGGUACCGUAAGAAUAAGCACCGGCUAACUACGUGCCAGCAGCCGCAGUAA